AACCCUAUCUUACUGUGAGACACUUGUUGAAUUAUUUACGAAUUACAGAACAUAAAUGAAUUUAUUGUUUAUGUCAUUAAUGUCAAUGCCAUUAGCCUAUUCAUCAUCAGAUAAAUACUACUGAAUAAUUAAAACUCGACCCCCCCCGAAAAAAAAACACUUGCCCACCCUUUUAACUUUAUUAGUGUCACAGUCACAUGACUAUAAAGAGUUUGUGGGAAACUUAAUUAAUAUAAGAAGUGUUGUUUUACAGAUAAGUAGAACUUAUAUUUUCACAUAGCUUAAUUCGCUCUAGAUUUACCCGCAGCUUAACAGAAACUGCUUCUUCGCAACUCGAUUCCCAUACUGCAUCAGGCGUAACGUAUUGUGCGUGGGGGUUGAGAGAAAAUCAGCUGAUUAGCCGGUGAUCUCCACAUUAAGGGAGAUUUUGGGGUGAACGCUGUUGGCAAUCGGUGAGCUGUAACUGGCGGAGUAAGGCGCUAAAGUGUGCUUAUUUGAUUCACCUGUUUUCCCUAACUGACCUUGAUUGUGAAUUAUCCGGGCUGAAGGUGUUCUGAAUACUGAAGGCGUUCUGAGCUUUGAAAACAUUAUUGGGUGACAGGAUGGAUUUCUCCAAACUACCCAAGAUUCGUGAUGAGGAGCAGGAGAGCAUGUUCGGAUACGUGCAUGGAGUCUCUGGGCCUGGU